rnacentral:lncRNA from 1 species
AAAUCGUUAACCGUUUCAGGACUGCUAACUUGACUCUUGGGCCUAGGAUCUCAGGGAGGUUGAUCAUGACUAGUAGAUGACCCCGAUUGAUUUUUGGGGUCACUUGGUCAAAGGUCAAGGUCAUAAUUGGUUAAAUCCAUUUCUGAUUAUUAUCUUGAGAACCAUUUGACCUUGAGCCUUCAUUAUUUAUUGGAUGUUUAGUGUUGUGAUAAUUUCUUGGUCAAAGGUCAUGGUCAGUUAGGGUCAAAUCCAUUUUAAAGCAAUAUCUUGAGAUCAGUUUGGCUUACAUGCUUCAAAUAUCAUGGGUUGUAGAUGACCCCUAUCAUUCUUUAACCUGGAUCAAAGGUCGAGAUCAUUUAAUAUCUAAGGCUAUCAGAGGGGCAUAUGUGUUUUUCAAUCAGCUCUUGUUAAUUUUUUGAAGUGACUUAUAAACAAUAAAUGGGCACUGUUGCUCCAGCAGCAUGCCCAUUAUUUGACUGGUCUGUAAUGAUGUGCAGGCUGAUUUUGGUCUGCACUGGUCGCAAAGGCAGAAUCACUUGCCGCCAGCAGGCUAAAGGUUAAGUAAUGGCAUAGUUUGAGUUGGAAUGUAACCAGGUAAUGCAUGUUAUUGCUGUUUAAUGAGUUGCUGAUUAUAUACCUAAGUACAAAAACGUGUACUGGCUCAUUUACACCAUCCGUGGCCAAGUGGUUAAGGUCACUGACUUCCAAUCACUUUCCCCUCACCAAUGUGGGUUCGAUCCUCACUCGGGGUGGUGAAUUCUUCAUGUUAGGAAGCCAUCCAGCUGGCUUACAGAAGGUUGGAAAGUCGCCAUAUGACCUAUAAUUGUGCUGGUGCAACCCAACAAAAAAAAUUACAUCAUCUAAUCAUAUAAAAUCAGUGUUAAAGUUCUAACAUCAUGGUAAUAUGACAUCACACGCAAAUUUUGUUCCAGUACCGUAAACAGUUACUGUGAGUGUUUCUGGAUAUUGGCAUGGAUUACAGGAUUCUGUACUGUACUGUACAGAUUUGUCACUAUUCAUGGUAUAUAACAAAAUUUCUUAUGUAAAGUGAAUUUUAUUUAUACUAAUUUGUAUUAGCUUGAUUGUGAUGAAAGCUUCAAGCUUAUUGGAACCACUUUUGAUUCAGCUUCCUGGAAAAACGGCUACUGGUGUCAUAUGAGAAGUCUUGGUCAUGACCCCAGUGGGGCUCGAACCCAUGACCCCUGGAUUGAGUGGCCGACACCUUAUUGAAAAGUGAAUUUUAGAGCUCUGUUACAAAUGGCAGUUUAAAUACACACAUUGUGGGUGUUUUUUCCCACACGAGAGAGAAUCAAUUUGAACAUCUUGAAUAACACGGCAGUAAUAAACUCAUGUACUCUGUGGUUCUGAAUGUUGUGUAGUUCUUAGAACAGGUCAACAAUGCUUUAGAUAUUGUCUUUUUAUCAAUGCAGAAUAAUUAAUAUAUAAGUAAAAUAGUUUGAUUGCAUGUGAUUUACUUCGGAAAUCAAGAUAAAUUGUAUAUUAGUUGGCUAGCCGAAGCAAGCUGUACUUUCUGCUACUGUCACUGUUGUUAAAGCUUGUAUUGUGUAUCAUUUCUUUUCUUAUAAAUUUUUAAAUAUUAAACCAGUGUCAGGCCCGUAUCCAAAUAUAUUUGACAGGGGCACCAGUCUAGAAUGUAGACGUCACUGCCCAGGUGCAUAGCGUCAAUAGUGGGUAGCAAUGGGAGGGGGGCUCUGCCCAUGUUAGGGGGGCCUCCCCCUGAAAAUUUUUGAAAUACAGGCAUGAAAUUGUAGCCUCAGGGUGCAUUUUUUGUCUAAAUUUUGAGAUAAUGGAGGGGUUACUCCCCUCCUGAUGGGGAGUGGGGUUAGAGGGCUCUCCCCCUUGAAAAUUUUGAAAUACAGGAUAUGAAAUGGUGGUCUCUGACAGCGUUUCUAGGUCUAAAUUUUGAGAAAAUAUUGUUCCUUUGCCAAGAUAGUAGGGUGCAUCUUUGAUGAGUGUAGGUCACUUCUCAGCCAACUGUGGGCGCACACGCCCCCUAGACCCGGCCCUGGAUCCGGGUCUGCACGUCAUUAAAAACAUUUGUGCAUGAAAAUCAUAUUGGAGAUUGUAUUGUAUCAAUGGAUAUCAUUUUGCUGAUUUUCAUGAAGAGUUGAUACCGGUACUGGUCUUCAAAGAAUUUAGAACUUGUGUAAAAAGGAAUAGCAGUCUGUAGUAGAUUGUUCAUUCCUGUAGAAUAAAGAAAACAUGUCUGAUAGUGCUAAAAUUUAUUAUUUUUGUAUGUCCCAAUAUUUUUGUGAUUUUUUUUUUUUU